rnacentral:rRNA from 1 species
UAGGGAAUCUUCCGCAAUGGACGAAAGUCUGACGGAGCAACGCCGCGUGAGUGAAGAAGGAUUUCGGUUCGUAAAACUCUGUUGUUAGGGAAGAAAAAAUGUAUAGUAACUAUAUACAAAAGAGACGGUACCUAACCAGAAAGCCACGGCUAACUACGUGCCAGCAGCCGCGGUAAUACGUAGGUGGCAAGCGUUGUCCGGAAUUAUUGGGCGUAAAGCGCGCGCAGGUGGUUUAGAAAGUCUGAUGUGAAAGCCCACGGCUCAACCGUGGAGGGUCAUUGGAAACUAAUAAACUUGAGAGCAGGAGAGAAAGGUGGAAUUCCUAGUGUAGCGGUGAAAUGCGUAGAGAUUAGGAGGAACACCGGUGGCGAGAGCGGCUUUUUGGCCUGCAACUGACACUGAGGCGCGAAAGCGUGGGGAGCAAACAGG